rnacentral:rRNA from 1 species
UGGCGGCGCGCAUAACACAUGCAAGUCGAGCGAGGGCUUAUUUCUCGCAAGGAGAGAUAAGUUCCUAGCGGCGAACGGGUGAGUAACACGUGGGCAACCUUUCCUAUCGCGGGGGAUAACACCGGGAAACCGAUGCUAAUACCGCAUGUCGUCACUGGUCGCAUGGCUGGUGAAGAAAGCAGCAAUGCACGAUGGGGUGGGCCCGCGGCCUAUCAGCUAGUCGGUGGGGUAACGGCCUACCGAGGCGAUGACGGGUAGCUGGUCUGAGAGGACGGCCAGCCACACGGGGACUGAGACACGGCCCCGACUCCUACGGGAGGCAGCAGUGAGGAAUCUUCCGCAAUGGGCGAAAGCCUGACGGAGCGACGCCGCGUGUGGGAUGAAGUCUUUCGGGAUGUAAACCACUGUCGGAGGGGAAGACAUCGACGGUACCCUCCAAGAAAGCCCCGGCUAACUACGUGCCAGCAGCCGCGGUAAUACGUAGGGGGCAAGCGUUAUCCAGAUUUACUGGGCGUAAAGCGCGUGUAGGCGGCUGGUUAGG